UUGAAUUUUUUUUUUUUUUGCAUCAGGGACAGAGAACUUACUAUGGUUUAAGCAGUGAUAUUAUAAUGAGUGGUAGAAAAAAGAAAGUUUGUAUUGAUCACAAUAUCAAAUCUAUCUGGAGACCUAUUGCAACUAAUGCUACUUCUUCUGAAGAAAGCUCAAUAGCGGCUACGACAGUUGAGUAAGGCGCUAUCUCAAAUGAGCAUCUCAUGAAGGUAGCUGCAUAUGAGGUUCAGAACCAGCAGUUUGUGAUGAACAAUGAUGGUUAUGUGAUGCACAGUGAGAACGAGGGUAUCUUCUAGGUUUAGUCAUACCAAGCCAUGUUACUUUCUUCAUAAAACAAGAUUGUUAUCCUCUGGAACUUCGAUUAUCGCUCGAGCAGCAGCACCUGUUACUGAUGUGCAGGAUGGUAAUCAAGGUGAGGCUGAUACCGUUCCGACCCCGAUAGUUAUAAUUGACCAAGACUCUGAUCCAAAUGCAACUGUGGUGAAGAUAACUUUUGGUGACCGGCUUGGAGCUCUUCUUGACACAUCUGAAGAUGAAAGGGAGAUGUGCUUUAGAACAAUUUAUUGCACAAACAUAGACAAAAAGGUAGUUCAGGAUUUUUACAUUUCUAUUAAAUUUUGCUUAGAGGAACUAUUUGAUCUUUUUCUUUAUCUGUGAUUUUUACAUUUCUAAUAAGUUAUUUUCUUGUUAUACUUGCAACUGACUCAAGCAGAUGUGAAACACUUCUUUGACUCUAUCCGUGGAGAGGUUUGUAGUUUUUUUGUGUGGAAUUAAGCUUAAUCCAUCACUUGCAACUGACUCUAUCUGUGGAGAGGUUUCUUGUUUCUCGUCUUGACAGAUUUCCUAGCAAUUUUAAUUGCCUUAAUCUUGUGAGCAGAAUCCCUGAGGCCUUCUUCAGGCACAACUAAAAACUAUAAGUUUGAAGAAAUGUCAAUUGUUUCCUGGAGGGUUCCUCACAAAUGCAGGUUGGCCAUAUACUUGAGCCUUCCUGGAGGGAAAUAUCUAUUUUAACUGACCUAUUCUUUGUAGGCUGUUAGCCGUGAAAUCCGAAAGAUCCUGACUGAGAGGGCAGCCAACUUUAAUAGAUGGAAAAACCAUUAGCAUCAACUAGAUUACCUUCUGUUACAUUGAACCUUGUAGCAAUAUUUGAAAUGUUAUCUCCCCAGGUUACAGAGUAUGUGAGUAAAUACUUGGUGCCAUUUGUUUUCUGAUGAUAUGUUGGACAAGCGCAUUGAAGUGGAACCUAUAACUCCAUUCCUGGAUGCAAAUCAAGUACUCCAUAUGGAUUCGCACGCAUCAGAGAAUCACACGUCGUCAAACCCUGGAAUGUAUCGUUUGCUACUGUGAAAUAUGUCGGGUUUUGACCCAAUACAUAUUUCGUUUCAGCUUGAUAAUAAUUAUUGGUUAAACAAGAGCAGUUCACAGGAACAAUAACCUCUUUACCAGGCGGGAAAACUAUGAGCAAAGUGGCACCAUUGAUUCGGGCGAGCUCUUUCGGGUUUGAUGACGUGAGGUUGGAAAUCGCGUUGACGGAGUUGUAAGGAGUUUUGGAUCUGAAGCUCAGAAAAGCCAUGCAGGAUUUGUUGAAGCCAUUGCAGGUGUAAAGAAAUGCGGGCGAAGGUCCCAUAUCAUCGCUAUUCUCGCAGGCAUGGCAUUGAUGAAGCACGCCGAAGAUGCUGCAAGUAACAAAAAGUACAUGUUCAACAAGUUAGAGCUUCAUGUACUCAUUUUAGGGAUUGACAAGGCUGGCAAAAGGACUUUGCUUGAGAAGAUGAAGUCGGUGUACACGAAUGUAGAAGGUCUUCCUCCGGAUUGAAUUGUGGAAAGCAAUUGCUUCUCCAGGGCGUGGUAUUUUGGCCAUGGAUGAAUCCAAUGCUACAUGUGGAAAGCGGUUGGAUUCAAUUGGACUAGAGAACACCGAAUCUAACCGUCAAGCAUGGCUUGGUUAAAAUAUAAUUUUUAUGUGUAUGAUUUUAUAGUACUUGAAAUAUUAUGAAUGCACAUGAUUUUGUAUACUUUUUGGUUAAUAUUAAAAAUAUUU